AUGCAACCUGCCCCUGUCAGGGGGACAACCCGCCGAAAGGCGGGCUAAACCCGCGUACAUGCCACCGGGGCAUCCCGGAGGCAGGAAAGGCUUCGGCCGGACAGGGAUGGGCAUGCGGCGCAUUAGGCAGUAGGCGGGGUAACGGCCCACCUAACCGACGAUGCGUAGGGGUUCUGAGAGGAAGGUCCCCCACACUGGUACUGAGACACGGACCAUACUCCUACGGGAGGCAGCAGUGAGGAAUAUUGGUCAAUGGUCGGGAGACUGAACCAGCCUAGCCGCGUGAGGGAGGAAGGUACAGAGUAUCGAAAACCUCUUUUGUCAGGGAACACAGGCGGGGACGUUGUCCCCGGAUGAGUGUACCUGAAGAAAAAGCAUCGGCUAACUCCGUGCCAGCAGCCGGCGGUAAUACGGAGGAUGCGAGCGUUUAUCCGGAUUUAUUGGGUUUAAAGGGUGCGCAGGCGGUCUGUUUAAUUCACCGGUCAAAGCCCGGGGGCCUCACCCCCGGCCCGCCGUUGAAACUGGCAGUCUCGAGUUGGAGAGAAGUAUGCGGAAUGCGCGGUGUAGCGGUGAAAUGCAUAGAUAUCGCGCAGAACUCCGAUUGCGAAGGCAGCAUGCCGGCUCCACACUGACGCUGAGGCACGAAAGCGUGGGUAUCGAACAGGAUUAGAUACCCUGGUAGUCCACGCAGUAAACGAUGAAUGCUGGCUGUCCGGGGGGAUUGACCCCUGGGUGGCGAAGCGAAAGCGAUAAGCAUUCCACCUGGGGAGUACGCCGGCAACGGUGAAACUCAAAGGAAUUGACGGGGGCCCGCACAAGCGGAGGAACAUGUGGUUUAAUUCGAUGAUACGCGAGGAACCUUACCCGGGCUCAAACGGGGAGUGACUCAGGCAGAGACGCCUGUUUCCCACGGGACACUCCCCGAGGUGCUGCAUGGUUGUCGUCAGCUCGUGCCGUGAGGUGUCGGCUUAAGUGCCAUAACGAGCGCAACCCCCGCGUGCAGUUGCUAACAGAUAACGCUGAGGACUCUGCACGGACUGCCGGCGCAAGCCGCGAGGAAGGCGGGGAUGACGUCAAAUCAGCACGGCCCUUACGUCCGGGGCGACACACGUGUUACAAUGGGUGGUACAGCGGGAAGCCAGGCGGCGACGCCGAGCGGAACCCGAAAUCCACUCUCAGUUCGGAUCGGAGUCUGCAACCCGACUCCGUGAAGCUGGAUUCGAGAGUAAUCGCGCAUCAGCCAUGGCGCGGUGAAUACG
rnacentral:rRNA from 1 species